AUGGCUGUCGUCAGCUCGUGUCGUGAGAUGUUCGGGUUAAGUCCCGCAACGAGCGCAACCCUUGCCUUUAGUUGCCAGCAGUUCGGCUGGGCACUCUAAAGGGACUGCCGGUGUUAAACCGGAGGAAAGGUGGGGAUGACGUCAAGUCCUCAUGGCCUUUAUGACCAGGGCUACACACGUACUACAAUGGCCGAUACAAAGGGCAGCGACACUGCGAGGUGAAGCCAAUCCCGUAAAAUCGGUCUCAGUCCGGAUUGGAGUCUGCAACUCGACUCCAUGAAGUUGGAAUCGCUAGUAAUCGUGGAUCAGCAUGCCACGGUGAAUACGUUCCCGGGCCUU
rnacentral:rRNA from 1 species